ACUUCUGCCGAUCCUGAGGCAGGUCACCAUGGGGUGGUGAGGUGCUGAGUCACUGCUGUGCUGCAUGGCGGCCGCCAGGGGGUGUUGCGGUGCGAGGUAUGAUGUGCUCCGUUGGCCGCCAAGGGGCGCUACCGUUUUAGCGGUGUGGACAGCGCGCGGUGGAGCCAUAAGCUGCAGCGGCGGUGGGGGCACGGAGUGUGAACCCAGAGAGCCUCAGCCCCGCUAUGCGCAUCCUCCGGGUGGCCAGACCAGGGAUGUUCGUGGCCUUGAAGCCAUCCAACCAUGCCACCAUCCAGAGCAUAGUGAGAGCUGUCGGUGUCGUCCCGGGCAUUCCCGAGCCUUGCUGCAUUCCCGACAAAAUGUCUUCUCUUAGUAUCUUAUUCUUUGAUGAAAAUAAAAACGUGGUUCUUAAGGUGUACCCCAACAUGA